rnacentral:lncRNA from 1 species
GAAAAAACAGAAUAAAAAGGGAAAAAGUGGUUGGGUGGGGGCUCCAUAGUUCAUAAUAACUUCACUACUGUACUGAAUACUGAGAGAGCAGUGUGUUGGUAGAUGAGUGAAUGGGGAUAAUAGGUUUAGGAUAUUAGGUUAAGGACAAUAUGCAUCAAGACACAGACACUGCCUUGCAUGCCUCUACCUGCAAGCCCACGUUUGGGUUCCUUGGUCAAAAAGUUACAAAACAAUUCCUUUCUCUUUCUCUCUUUUUA